AAUGGUAGUGGGGAAUACAGAAGAUUUUGCAGCAUGUUAGGGUUCCUAUCUUCAUACCUGAUCAGUAGGAGACUGGGAGCCGGAGAAGCAACUGGAAAACCACAGAUGCUCCUGUUCACUGUAAGUAAAGCAGAUGAUGAACCAAUAAAAGGCACCCAACGCAAACAGCAAUUCAGCAGAACAGGGAAACAAAGACAACUGAGGAACUGUCUCUGUCCAUAAUAAAGGGAAGAAUCAAGGAGAAAGCAAGUGGCCAGAUGCUUCUUGUAUUUGUUAAAAUAAUGUACGAAAAUUCACAUUUUCUGCUGUGGCUCUCCCUACAAACUCCAGGAUUGCAGAGCAAGAGAGUACUGUGAUUCCUGGCUUGAUGAGCACAAUAGCACCCAGGAG
rnacentral:lncRNA from 1 species